rnacentral:rRNA from 1 species
UACAGAGGUCUCAAGCGUUGUUCGGAUUCAUUGGGCGUAAAGAGCUCGUAGGCGGCUUGUCGCGUCGUCCGUGAAAACCUGCAGCUCAACUGCAGGCUUGCGGUCGAUACGGGCAGGCUGGAGUUCGGUAGGGGAGACUGGAAUUCCUGGUGUAGCGGUGAAAUGCGCAGAUAUCAGGAGGAACACCGGUGGCGAAGGCGGGUCUCUGGGCCGAUACUGACGCUGAGGAGCGAAAGCGUGGGGAGCGAACAGG